rnacentral:rRNA from 1 species
AACGAACGCUGGCGGCAGGCUUAACACAUGCAAGUCGAACGCAUCCUUCGGGGUGAGUGGCAGACGGGUGAGUAACGCGUGGGAACGUGCCCUUCAGUUCGGGAUAACCCAGGGAAACUUGGGCUAAUACCGGAUACGUGCGAGAGCAGAAAGAUUUAUCGCUGAAGGAUCGGCCCGCGUCUGAUUAGCUGGUUGGUAGGGUAAUGGCCUACCAAGGCGACGAUCAGUAGCUGGUCUGAGAGGAUGAUCAGCCACACUGGGACUGAGACACGGCCCAGACGCCUACGGGAGGCAGCAGUGGGGAAUAUUGGACAAUGGGCGCAAGCCUGAUCCAGCCAUGCCGCGUGAGUGAUGAAGGCCUUAGGGUUGUAAAGCUCUUUCGCACGCGACGAUAAUGACGGUAGCGUGAGAAGAAGCCCCGGCUAACUUCGUGCCAGCAGCCGCAGUAAAAC